CAUUUGUUCUGCCAUGUGUGGACACAUGCAUGUGUGUGUGUAUAUGCGCAUACACACACACACACACACACACACACACACACACACACACAC
rnacentral:miRNA from 1 species